GACGAACGCUGGCGGCGUGCUUAACACAUGCAAGUCGAACGGAAAGGCCCUGCUUUUGUGGGGUGCUCGAGUUGCGAACGGGUGAGUAACACGUGAGUAACCUGCCCUUGACUUUGGGAUAACUUCAGGAAACUGGGGCUAAUACCGGAUAGGAGCUCCUGCUGCAUGGUGGGGGUUGGAAAGUUUCGGCGGUUGGGGAUGGACUCGCGGCUUAUCAGCUUGUUGGUGGGGUAGUGGCUUACCAAGGCUUUGACGGGUAGCCGGCCUGAGAGGGUGACCGGCCACAUUGGGACUGAGAUACGGCCCAGACUCCUACGGGAGGCAGCAGUGGGGAAUAUUGCACAAUGGGCGGAAGCCUGAUGCAGCAACGCAGCGUGCGGGAUGACGGCCUUCGGGUUGUAAACCGCUGUCGCCUGUGACGAAGAGUGAGUGACGGUAAUGGGUAAAGAAGCACCGGCUAACUACGUG
rnacentral:rRNA from 1 species